rnacentral:rRNA from 1 species
AGUGCAAGGCUGUUUGGGACCCAGUGAUAGAAAGGGUGAAUAGAAGACUAUCAGCUUGGAAGGCUAAAAUCCUCUCGAGAGGAGGUAAAUUAACUUUAAUCAAGUCCGUUCUUUCGGCCUUGCCUCUGUACUAUCUCUCUCUAUUCAGUAUGCCAGCGGCAGUUCUAAAAGUGAUAGAUAGAAAAAUGUGUGAAUUCCUAUGGCAUGACAAGGAGAACACAAAGAGAAUGCAUUGGGUGGCUUGGGAGGUUAUUUGCAAGGAGCUGGAGGCUGGGGGGCUGGGAAUCAAGAACCUUAAGUUGAUGAAUGAUGCAUUACUGACUAAGUGGCUUUGGAGAUUUGCCACAGAGAGAACCUCUCUUUGGAGGACCAUAAUUAUGGAGAAGUUUGGUUGUCAUAGCGGAGGAUGGAGACAAGCCAGCAGCAAAGCUUCAUUCGGGUGCGGCCUUUGGAAGGGUAUAUCAGCUCGAGAAAAGAAAUUUGUGCAAAUCACUAAGUGGAAGUUGGGGGAUGGCAAGUGUAUUAACUUUUGGGAAGAUGAGUGGUGCCUUCCGAUACCUCUUAAAGAGAGAUUUCCAGCCAUAUACUUUAUCUCGUCUUCUCAAAAGGAAUCAGCCUUUAAUCACUUUAACUGGUCUUUAGGAGCUUGGGAGAUCAGGACGAGAAGGAAUCUUAAUGAUUGGGAAAUCCCAAUCUUUGCUAACCUCCUAGGGGUUCUUGAUCAGUUUGUGCCAUCGGCAGGUAAGGAGGACUCAAGGGUGUGGACUAAGGAAGGGGACGAGGACUUAUCGGUUAAAAACUGUUAUGCCAGACUUAACCUCAGCCCAGAUCCUUCGAUCGAUCAGUUUGACUUCAGAUCCUUGUGGUCUAGUCAUAUCCCUCCUAGAGUGAGCUUCUUGAUGUGGGCAGCAGUCCAGGGGAAGAUUCCAACAGUAGAUAACCUCAAGAAGCGUGGAUGGGUCCUACCUAAUAGAUGUGGCAGGUGUAAAGAGAAUGAGGAAUCAGUGUCUCACCUUUUGAUUCACUGUUCGGAGGCUGUGAAGAUUUGGAACUUUUUUCUUCAAUCUAUUGGAGUGAGCUGGAGCCUUCCAGCCUCAAUAGAUCAGCUCAUCUCUCAAUGGAGGAAGGCUCCAGUGAGGAAACCUAAGAGAGGUCUGUGGAACCUUGUCCCUUCGGCUAUAUGUUGGUGUAUAUGGAAGGCUAGAAACGAAGGAAUUUUUAGGGAUUCCAUCCCUGCCUUCAAGAUAGCGGAGGAAGAUGUCUUGGGUGUUCUUUUUCAUUGGAGUAGGUCCCUCGGAUGGACCAGGUCUUUUUCGUAUUUUGAUUUUGUGUCGAAUUGGGGGGGCAUCUUAAGUAUGUAAUUGUAUCAGCUCCCUCUCUUCUUCCCCCUUGUAUAGUCCCUUGUAUUCUUUUUCUCCCAUAAUUAAUUCAAAAUUUUCAAAAAAAAAAAACGGCGGGGGAGCAAACCAAAAUAGAAAAACUCACAUUGGGUUUAGGGAUAAUCAGGCUCGAACUAAUGACUUCCACCACGUCAAGGUGACACUCUACCGGCGCUGAAGUAACCUAUGACAUACUCCCAGGAAAAGCUCGAACGACCUUCAACAAAAGGGUACCUGUACCCGAAACCGAAACAGGUGGGUAGGUAGAGAAUACUUAAGGGCCCCAUAACUUCAGGAGAAGGGGUGCCUCUUCACAACGGGGGUCGCAGUGUCCAGGCCCGAGCGAUUGUUUACCAAAAACACAGGUCCCCGCAAAGUUGUUAAGACCAUGUAUGGGUGCUGACGCCUGCCUACAACCCGAAGGUCAAGGAAGUUGGUGACCUGAUGACAGGGAAGGUGGCAAUCAAAGCCCCGGUGAACGGCGGCCAUAACUAUAACGGUUCUUAGGUAGCGAAAUCCCUUUUCGGGUAAGUUUCAACCUGCACGAAAGGCGCAAAGAUUUGGGCACUCUUUCGGAGAAAGGCUCGGUGAAAUAGACAUGUCUGUGAAGAUGCAGACUACCUGCACUUGGACAGAAAGACCUUAUGAAGCUUUACUAUUCCCUCAGAUUGGCUUUGGGCCUUUCCUGCACAGCAUAGGUGGAGGGUGAAGAAGGCCUCUUUCUGGGGGGGCCCGAGCCAUCAGUGAGAUACCACUCUGGAAGAGCUAGAAUUCUAACCUUGUGCUACGGGCCAAGGGACAAUCUCAGGUAGACAGUUUAUAUGGGGCGUAGGCCUCCCAAAGGGGUAAUGGAGGUGUGCAGAGGUUUCCUCGGGCCGGACGGAGAUUGGUCGUCGAGUGCGAAGAUAGAAGGGAGCUUGAUUGCAAGACCCACCCGUCGAGCAGAGGGACGAAAGUCGGCUUUAGUGAUCCGACGGUGCAGAGUGGAAGGGCCGUCGCUCAACGGAUAAAAGUUACUCUAGGGACAACAGGCUGAUCUUCCCCAAGAGUUCACGUCGACCGGAAGGUUUGGCACCUCGACGUCGGCUCUUCGCAACCUGGGGCUUUAGUAUGUUCCACGGGUUGGGUUGUUCGCCCAUUAAAGCGGUACGUGCGCUGGGAUCAAAACUUCGUGAGACAGUUCGGUCCAUAUCCGGUGUGGACGUUAGAGCAUUGAACCUUUCCCUAGUACGAAAGGACCAGGAAGGAUGCACCUCUAGUGUACCAAUUAUCGUGCCCACGGUAAGUGCUGGUUAGCCAAGUGCGGAGCGGAUAACUGCAAAAAGCAUCAAGUAGUAGGCCCACCCCAAGAUGAGUGCUUUCCUAUUCCGACUUCCCCAGAGCCUUCGGUAGCACAGCCUAGACAACGACGGGUUCUCUGCCUCUGCGGGGAUGGAGCCACAGAAGUUUUCAGAAUCCAAGAGAAGGUCACGAUGAGACGUUUAUCAUUACGAUAGGUGUCAAGUAGAAGUGCAGUGAUGAAAGCAGCCGAGGCAUCCUAACAGACCAAUAGACUUGAAC